rnacentral:rRNA from 1 species
CCCUUAAGUCUGGGAUACCAUUUGGAAACAGAUGCUAAUACCGGAUAAAAGCUACUUUCGCAUGAAAGAAGUUUAAAAGGCGGCGUAAGCUGUCGCUAAAGGGAUGGACCUGCGAUGCAUUAGCUAGUUGGUAAGGUAACGGCUUACCAAGGCGAUGAUGCAUAGCCCGAGUUGAGAGACUGAUCGGCCACAUUGGGACUGAGACACGGCCCAAACUCCUACGGGAGGCAGCAGUAGGGAAUCUUCCACAAUGGACGAAAGUCUGAUGGAGCAACGCCGCGUGAGUGAAGAAGGUUUUCGGAUCGUAAAGCUCUGUUGUUGGUGAAGAAGGAUAGAGGUAGUAACUGGCCUUUAUUUGACGGUAAUCAACCAGAAAGUCACGGCUAACUACGUGCCAGCAGCCGCGGUAAU